rnacentral:rRNA from 1 species
UACGUAGGUGGCAAGCGUUAUCCGGAAUUAUUGGGCGUAAAGAGCGCGCAGGUGGUUGAUUAAGUCUGAUGUGAAAGCCCACGGCUUAACCGUGGAGGGUCAUUGGAAACUGGUCAACUUGAGUGCAGAAGAGGGAAGUGGAAUUCCAUGUGUAGCGGUGAAAUGCGUAGAGAUAUGGAGGAACACCAGUGGCGAAGGCGGCUUCCUGGUCUGUAACUGACACUGAGGCGCGAAAGCGUGGGGAG